AAUAGAUACCCGGGUAGUCCACCCGUAAACGUUGGGAACUAGUUGUGGGGUCCUUUCCACGGAUUCCGUGACGCAGCUAACGCAUUAAGUUCCCCGCCUGGGGAGUACGGCCGCAAGGCUAAAACUCAAAGGAAUUGACGGGGACCCGCACAAGCGGCGGAGCAUGCGGAUUAAUUCGAUGCAACGCGAAGAACCUUACCAAGGCUUGACAUACACCAGAACACCCUAGAAAUAGGGGACUCUUUGGACACUGGUGAACAGGUGGUGCAUGGUUGUCGUCAGCUCGUGUCGUGAGAUGUUGGGUUAAGUCCCGCAACGAGCGCAACCCUCGUUCUAUGUUGCCAGCACGUAAUGGUGGGAACUCAUGGGAUACUGCCGGGGUCAACUCGGGAGGAAGGUGGGGAUGACGUCAAAUCAUCAUGCCCUUAUGUCUUGGGCUUCACGCAUGCUACAAUGGCCGGUACAAGGGCUGCAAUACCGUGAGGUGGAGCGAAUCCCAAAAGCCGGUCCCAGUUCGGAUUGAGGUCUGCAACUCGACCUCA
rnacentral:rRNA from 1 species